rnacentral:miRNA from 1 species
AGGCGGAGACUUGGGCAAUUGC